AGGGGCUGUGGGUUUCUAAGGUCCAGCUGCCUGCCUCGUUCCUAACUUCGGACUUCAAGUCCCACAAGGCAGGAAAGCUGACACACUGGGACGCAGUUUAUAAACUAAACAGAAACAGAUUGUGCUGAUUUGGAUACACAACUAGGACGCACCUGCAGGUCCUGUGUCUGAUGGAAUGCAAACAAUUCCAACGUCUGCCACACGGUGGAGCUGAGAUACCAGUCAUACAAUGCCCAAAUUUGUCACUGCUGAUGGACCAAGGUCAGAUGCUGGAAGCCUAUAUAAAACUAAGACAGAGGUUGUGAUUAAUAAC